rnacentral:rRNA from 1 species
GACGAACGCUGGCGGCGUGCCUAAUACAUGCAAGUAGAACGCUGAAGGAGGAGCUUGCUUCUCUGGAUGAGUUGCGAACGGGUGAGUAACGCGUAGGUAACCUGCCUGGUAGCGGGGGAUAACUAUUGGAAACGAUAGCUAAUACCGCAUAAUAGUAGAUGUUGCAUGACAUUUGCUUAAAAGGUGCAAUUGCAUCACUACCAGAUGGACCUGCGUUGUAUUAGCUAGUUGGUGAGGUAACGGCUCACCAAGGCAACGAUACAUAGCCGACCUGGGAGGGUGGUCGGCCACACUGGGACUGAGACACGGCCCAGACUCCUACGGGAGGCAGCAGUAGGGAAUCUUCGGCAAAGGACGGAAGUCUGACCGAGCAACGCCGCGUGAGUGAAGAAGGUUUUCGGAUCGUAAAGCUCUGUUGUAAGAGAAGAACGAGUGUGAGAGUGGAAAGUUCACACUGUGACGGUAUCUUACCAGAAAGGGACGGCUAACUACGUG